rnacentral:rRNA from 1 species
GACGAACGCUGGCGGCGUGCCUAAUACAUGCAAGUAGAACGCUGAAGAGAGGAGCUUGCUCUUCUUGGAUGAGUUGCGAACGGGUGAGUAACGCGUAGGUAACCUGCCUUGUAGCGGGGGAUAACUAUUGGAAACGAUAGCUAAUACCGCAUAACAAUAGGUGACACAUGUCAUUUAUUUGAAAGGGGCAAUUGCUCCACUACAAGAUGGACCUGCGUUGUAUUAGUUAGUAGGUGAGGUAACGGCUCACCUAGGCGACGAUACAUAGCCGCCCUGAGAGGGUGGGCGGCCUCACUGGGACGGAGACACGGCCCGGAAGCCCACGGGAGGCGGCAGGAGGGACUCUUCGGCAAUGGGGCCAACCCUGACUCUGACACGCCGCGUCAGUGAAGAAGGUUCUCGGAUCGUAAAGCUCUGUUGGAAGUCAAGAGCGGGUGAGAGAGUUGAAAGUUCACACUGUGACGGUAGCAUACCAGAAAGGGACGGCUAACUACGUG